rnacentral:rRNA from 1 species
UGCCUACGGGGGGCAGCAGUGGGGGAUAUUGCACAAUGGGGGAAACCCUGAUGCAGCGACGCCGCGUGAGUGAAGAAGCAUUUCGGUAUGUAAAGCUCUAUCGGCAGGGAAGAAAAAAAUGACAGUACCUGACUAAGAAGCCCCGGCUAACUACGUGCCAGCAGCCGCGGUAAUACGUAGGGGGCAAGCGUUAUCCGGAUUUACUGGGUGUAAAGGGAGCGUAGGCGGCCAUGCAAGUCAGAAGUGAAAA